ensembl:lncRNA
GUAGUGUCCUAAGAAAGGAUUGCCGGGAGGUUCUUCGUGUUUCCGGUUUUGGUGGUGUCUUUCGUGUUAGAGGUUUGCUCCGAUGUCUGAUGAUCCUUGACUAUCCAUUCGUAUUUAAGGAUGGGGCCUUAAAACUGUUGGAAGCUCUCUAUACCUUAUCAGGACUUAUCAACUGGUCGGCCUCAUUUUAGGGAGUGCUUAAAAGCGGAGAACCUUUGCCAGCUGUGGUCAGAGGGAGUCGUGACUGUGGAAGAAAGGCACAGAGAGACUCAACGCUGCUGGCUUUGAAGAUGGAGGAAGAGGGCCCUGAGCCAAGGAAUGCAGUGGGCCUGUAGAAGCUGGAAAAGGUAAGAAAACAGAAUCUCCCCGAGAGCUCUGAGAAGGGAGCACAGCCCUGCCAACACGUGGAUUUACCCCAUAAGACCUGUGUCAGACUUCCGGCCUCCAGAAUGGGAAGACAAUAAAUCUGUGUUGUUGCGAGCUGCUCAGCUUGUAGGAAUUCGUCACAGCAGCAAUAGAAAACUAGGAGAGGGUGCUCGGAUGGAGAUUCAGCUGUUUCCUUGAGGACUCCCAAUAUCAUCAUUUAUAGCUCUUCAGAACCUGAAAGGCAGCAUAGCUCCUGGGAUUGUGUGUGUGUUAUACACCGGCUAAGGAGGAAGAUGAUUUGUUUCGGGCUGUGCGGCUUGAAGGAAGAAACGUAAUCCACCCAAGCUCCCAGCAAGCAGCAAGCAGGAGUCCCAAGAGGCAGGACCAGGAUCUCAUAGCAAAGUGGAAUUCAUCUCUAAAAAGAGGUUUAUGGCUGACCAGACUUCAUCAGUUCAGAUAUGUCUGCCCCCAUAGGGAAGGUGUUGCCUGGACCAGGACCCGGAUCCACAACCAUAGGUCUCAAUCUGAACUUAGCCCAUUAAGGAUCUUUCUGACUUUGGAAGUAAAUGCUUUACCCACAUUGAUUUUUGGUGUCUGCUAAUCUGUGAAAUGAAAAGAGCUAUCAUAUCUCUGAGUGUGUUAAUCCAAAUGUCUGAGAGCUCCUCCAAGACAAAGAAGAUGGGAGGCUGGCUUCAACGGCCCUGGAGGAAGAUCUCUUGGUCCCAGAAUCAUAUCUUUGCCCCUCUUCAUGGCUCUUCUAAGGGAAAAGUUAAACUGAUGCAAGUCCAGAUGGCACUGCAGAGGAAAGAGAUAACAUCUGUUGAGCAUCCCCUGUGUACCAGGUGUGACAUGGAGAUUGCCUUGUUGCGACCUCACAGCAGCCUGAUGCAAGUUAGAAUCCCUCUCCAGCUCCCUUUCACAGGAGCAUGCGCACAAAUGUGGAUGCAGUGCACGGCCGGGUGGAGGAAACCAUUCUUGUUAAUAUCUGUGUGCCUCACAUAAUACAUACCUUUCUAAAGAGAUACAGGAGUUAAGCUUCACAUAUACAUUCUAUUGUCUUAGAUCAGAGAGCACAUCAUUCAAGUGUUUUUUUUUUCUUAUUUCAAAAAGUUUAGAAUCCAGCAAAGUUAGAGGUGGAACCCUUCCUCUGGGAAUAUAAAAUGUUAAAUGAAACACUUGGUAGUAGAUGACCAACUGCUUCUCUGAUAUAUACUGGGAUGUAUAAAAUUGGAGAAGACAGAAUGUAUAAAAUUGAACCUGCAGUAUGAAUAUUGCAAAGUGACACAGGACACACACUUUGUGUCCUCACAGUGCUUGACUGCAGCUGCAGACGCAGUGACGGGGUUGCUGGGCGGCAGAUCAAGGAUUACAUUCCGCAGCUCAGGCUUUCUUCACAGGAUUUAUGAGUUAAUGACUGACUAUUAGUUGAGUGCCUAGAGUGCUUCAAGAUCUCCCCAAAUUCUCCCUUUUUAUUCUUCUUGCAAGUUCUAAAACCAGAUGCUUCUUUUAUGGAAAAGUCUAAUUGCUGUGGAAUCUAAUGUAUGUCCUACUUUCAUAUCCAAAUAUCCUCCUUCCUGUUUAAUUUACAACAUUCCCAUGACUCACCUUUCAGUUAUGGUCCACAAGGCACCACACCUUUUUGGGUCCCGCCUGCACAUAUUGCUAAGUGUCUUCAACUUUGGAACGAAGCAUCCAUGAGUCAUGUUAAUAAUAUGAGAUGCUAAAAGAGACUUGUCUUACAAACACAACAAUAAAUGACAAAUUAGAUUUUUUAAAGCCCCAUCUGCUUCUCUCCCAUGCCCCACAGCCUAUACUUAUAAAACUUUCUGUAAUUUCAUGGCAUGAGGCGUGCCUGGAAAACUCAUCAUAAGAUAACAUGUGCCUAGUUAAAUAUUUGUUGGUUCUAACAUCUUAAAUUAUUUUUUAAUUAGUAAAAAGGGACAAACAGAAUUGAAGCCUAGAUACUUAAUGGGUAAUAUAAAAUGAACAAAGCAGUGAUGAAUAAAGCAACGAAAAGUGAAAGCUGUGUGUUCUGUGUUUUUCUGGAUAAUUUCCC